CAGGGGAGCACUAUACUUUGCACUCGCUUCUUUUCUAACCAAUAUGCCUUAUGAUUUUGAUUGUUCCAAGGUACUCCUGAGUCUGAUUUUGUAUCCAGAACGUUUUGGAUGCCAUAUGACAGGAAAACAAUGCGAACUGAGAACAGCGUGGUAUCUUCCCUAACGUUCACUUAUGGGGAACAACAUGUGCCAUGUACAAUUUGAGGAUGCUAUUGGAUGCAGCAAGAUCAGAAGAAAAAGUCAACUGUUCACAGAGCUUUAUUAUCACAGAAGGUAGUACAGACAUCCCCUGGAGAUGAGGCAGAGAGCUCUGGAAGGCAUCCUUGGAAACGUCAGCCGAAAAAAACAGACUGGAUUUUGAGAGUAAGAGUGAAGAAAGAGCACUUUGAGUGAUCAGCUCCUCUCCAGUGCUACGGAGAUUCCCUGGCUGCUUGAGAGUUCUGGGUUUGUGAAAUCAGGGUGUUUAACCAAAAGCCAAAGGCUGACUAGUGUCUUCAGGUGUCCUAAUACUGCAGUGCCUAAAAAUGCUGUAGAGGGAAUAAGAGAGAUUAGGUAUAGUGUAUGGGAAUUAAACAGCUUUGACGUGUCUUUAGGCACCUGACUGUGGGAGCAGCCAAAACCUCUAAUUACCCAAAAGUUUGUCUCCACAAGUACGUAGGGAAGCUGAGCACCAGGCUUUCCCUUUUGAAGAAAAUAGUGUUUAGUAGGCAGUGAUUCAACUGUAUUUGUAUGAAAAAAAAAAAAGAGAAAUUUUCCAUCUGCGUUUUGUUUUGCAUAGAGAAACUUCAAAGACUUCCUCACUGUUUAUUUUUAUAAAUAAAUAUAUAACUGUACAAAUACA
rnacentral:lncRNA from 1 species